AGCGAACGCUGGCGGCAGGCUUAACACAUGCAAGUCGAGCGGGCGUAGCAAUACGUCAGCGGCAGACGGGUGAGUAACGCGUGGGAACGUACCUUUUGGUUCGGAACAACCCAGGGAAACUUGGGCUAAUACCGGAUAAGCCCUUACGGGGAAAGAUUGAUCGCCGAAAGAUCGGACUGCGUCUGAUUAGCUAGUUGGUGAGGUAAUGGCUCACCAAGGCGACGAGCAGUAGCUGGUCUGAGAGGAUGAUCAGACACCUUGGGGCUGAGACAGGGCCCGAACUCCUACGGGGGGCCGCAGUGGGGAGUAUUGGACAUUGGGGGCAAGCCUGAUCCGGCCAUGCCGCGUGAGUGAUGAAGGCCCUAGGGUGGAAAAGCUCUUUUGUGCGGGAAGGUAAUGACGGUACCGCAAGAAUAAGCCCCGGCUAACUUCGUGCCAGCCGCCGCCGUAACAC
rnacentral:rRNA from 1 species